rnacentral:rRNA from 1 species
CCAGACUCCUACGGGAGGCAGCAGUGAGGAAUAUUGGUCAAUGGCCGAGAGGCUGAACCAGCCAAGUCGCGUGAGGGAAGACGGCCCUACGGGUUGUAAACCUCUUUUGUCGGGGAGCAAAGCGAGUCACGUGUGACUCAUUGAGAGUACCCGAAGAAAAAGCAUCGGCUAACUCCGUGCCAGCAGCCGCGGUAAUACGGAGGAUGCGAGCGUUAUCCGGAUUUAUUGGGUUUAAAGGGUGCGUAGGCGGACGCUUAAGUCAGCGGUAAAAUUGCGGGGCUCAACCUCGUCGAGCCGUUGAAACUGGGUGCCUUGAGUGGGCGAGAAGUACGCGGAAUGCGUGGUGUAGCGGUGAAAUGCAUAGAUAUCACGCAGAACUCCGAUUGCGAAGGCAGCGUACCGGCGCCCAACUGACGCUGAAGCACGAAGGCGUGGGUAUCGAACAGGAUUAGAUACCCUAGUAC